GGGGAAUAUUGGGCAAUGGACGCAAGUCUGACCCAGCAACGCCGCGUGAAGGAAGAAGGCUUUCGGGUUGUAAACUUCUUUUAAGGGGGAAGAGUAGAAGACGGUACCCCUUGAAUAAGCCACGGCUAACUACGUGCCAGCAGCCGCGGUAAUACGUAGGUGGCAAGCGUUGUCCGGAUUUACUGGGUGUAAAGGGCGUGUAGCCGGGAAGGUAAGUCAGAUGUGAAAUCUGGGGGCUCAACUGUAAAAGUGCCUUCGAAACUGGUUCCCUUGAGUGCGGAUGAGGUAGGCGGAAUUUGUGGUGUAGCGGUGAAAUGCAUAGAUAUCACGAGGAACUCCGAUUGCGCAGGCAGCUUACCAAGCCGUAACUGACGCUCAAGCACGAAGGCGUGGGGAUCAAACA
rnacentral:rRNA from 1 species